GCCUUUAUAGUUUAAUCGGUUUAAAACUCAUAUUUCAUACGUAUGUAACGAAGGUUCGAAUCCUCCUAUAGGCU
rnacentral:tRNA from 1 species